UGCAGUCGAGCGGAAGGCCCUUCGGGGUACUCGAGCGGCGAACGGGUGAGUAACACGUGAGCAACCUGCCCUAGGCUUUGGGAUAACCCUCGGAAACGGGGGCUAAUACCGAAUAUUCACUCAUGGGCGCAUGUUUGUGGGUGGAAAGUUUUUCGGCUUGGGAUGGGCUCGCGGCCUAUCAGCUUGUUGGUGGGGUAAUGGCCUACCAAGGCGACGACGGGUAGCCGGCCUGAGAGGGCGACCGGCCACACUGGGACUGAGACACGGCCCAGACUCCUACGGGAGGCAGCAGUGGGGAAUAUUGCACAAUGGGCGGAAGCCUGAUGCAGCGACGCCGCGUGAGGGAUGACGGCCUUCGGGUUGUAAACCUCUUUCAGCAGGGACGAAGCGCAAGUGACGGUACCUGCAGAAGAAGCGCCGGCCAACUACGUGCCAGCAGCCGCGGUAAGACGUAGGGCGCGAGCGUUGUCCGGAUUUAUUGGGCGUAAAGAGCUCGUAGGCGGCUUGUCGCGUCGACUGUGAAAACCCGUGGCUCAACUGCGGGCCUGCAGUCGAUACGGGCAGGCUAGAGUUCGGUAGGGGAGACUGGAAUUCCUGGUGUAGCGGUGAAAUGCGCAGAUAUCAGGAGGAACACCGGUGGCGAAGGCGGGUCUCUGGGCCGAUACUGACGCUGAGGAGCGAAAGCGUGGGGAGCGAACAGGAUUAGAUACCCUGGUAGUCCACGCUGUAAACGUUGGGCGCUAGGUGUGGGGGGCCUCUCCGGUUCUCUGUGCCGCAGCUAACGCAUUAAGCGCCCCGCCUGGGGAGUACGGCCGCAAGGCUAAAACUCAAAGGAAUUGAC
rnacentral:rRNA from 1 species